AGGAGAUAGGCUCCUGUUCCAUGACCAGUUCUGGGUCAAACAAGGCUACUACUUACUCUGGCUACAAUCAAGGGUCACGGGGAUACAACCAAUGAACUGCAAGAAAACCAGUAUCUGGUUGAAGAGGUUGACUAUUCACCCGAGAGCAGGAGCCCCACAUUGUAAAUAUGAUCAUUGCAAAUAACUGCAUCAGACGCAGAGAACUGCAGGACCACAUAAUGGCAGAUAACACCAUAUUCCAAAACGUCAGCAGAGUCAUGGAGCUAGAAGCAGAUGCAGUGCAUCAUGAGCUAAUAUAUGUGGACGAGGCAGGUUUCAACCUUGCAAAAACAAGGGGCCGUGGCAGAAAUAUCAUCAUACACCGUGCCAUCAUCAACGUCUUGGGACAACGUGGUGACAACAUAACAAUGUGUGCCAC